rnacentral:rRNA from 1 species
ACGGAAGGCAGCAGUGGGGAAUAUUGCACAAUGGGCGCAAGCCUGAUGCAGCGAUGCCGCGUGAGGGAAGAAGGUUUUCGGAUUGUAAACCUCUGUCCUCAGGGACGAUAAUGACGGUACCUGAGGAGGAAGCUCCGGCUAACUACGUGCCAGCAGCCGCGGUAAUACGUAGGGAGCAAGCGUUAUCCGGAUUUACUGGGUGUAAAGGGCGUGUAGGCGGGACAUCAAGUCAGAUGUGAAAGCACGAGGCUCAACUUCGUGUCUGCAUUUGAAACUGACGUUCUUGAGUGUUGGAGAGGCUAACGGAACUCCUAGCGUAGCGGUGAAAUGCGUAGAUAUUAGGAAGAACACCAGUGGCGAAGGCGGUUAGCUGGACAAUAACUGACGCUGAGGCGCGAAAGCGUGGGUAGCAAACAGGAUUAGAUACCCUGGUA